rnacentral:lncRNA from 1 species
UGAAAUUGAAGAGUGGGUUUUGUGCGGGAAAAAGAAGUUAAAGGGACAAAUAAGAGCUUACGAGGGUGAGUGGUUAAUAUGGAUUGUGAAUGAACAGAAGAAAAACUUCAGGAUUCUUAUUAAAAUAAAAAAGAAGGUAUGUGAUUAUGUUGGUGAAAAAAGGUUGUUAGUGAAGUAUUUGGUAAUAUUGAGAAUGGACAAUGAGGGAGUAUUAUGGUAAAGAGAGGAGUAUAGAGAUGAAAUAAGGUCUGAGUGAGGCGCCGCUUGGUGUA